rnacentral:rRNA from 1 species
UAGGGAAUUUUCCACAAUGGACGAAAGUCUGAUGGAGCAACGCCGCGUGCAGGAUGAAGGCUUUCGGGUCGUAAACUGCUUUUAUAUGUGAAGAUUAUGACGGUAGCAUAUGAAUAAGGAUCGGCUAACUCCGUGCCAGCAGCCGCGGUCAUACGGAGGAUCCAAGCGUUAUCCGGAAUUACUGGGCGUAAAGAGUUGCGUAGGUGGCAUUGUAAGUAGGUAGUGAAAUCCUGGGGCUCAACCCCUUCAACAUUAUCUAAACUGCAAAGCUAGAGGGCGAGAGAGGUAGCUAGAAUUCCUUGUGUAGGAGUGAAAUCCGUAGAUAUAAGGAGGAAUACCGAUGGCGUAGGCAGGCUACUGGCUCGUCCCUGACACUAAGGCACGAAAGCGUGGGGAGCGA